rnacentral:rRNA from 1 species
CAGCAGCCACGGGAAUACGUAGGUGGCAAGCGUUAUCCGGAAUUAUUGGGCGUAAAGCGCGCGCAGGUGGUUUCUUAAGUCUGAUGUGAAAGCCCACGGCUCAACCGUGGAGGGUCAUUGGAAACUGGGAGACUUGAGUGCAGAAGAGGAAAGUGGAAUUCCAUGUGUAGCGGUGAAAUGCGUAGAGAUAUGGAGGAACACCAGUGGCGAAGGCGACUUUCUGGUCUGUAACUGACACUGAGGCGCGAAAGCGUGGGGAGCAAACAGGAUUAGAGACCCCCGUAGUCCCUGUCUCUUAUAC